rnacentral:rRNA from 1 species
GACGAACGCUGGCGGCGUGCUUAACACAUGCAAGUCGAACGGAAAGGCCCUGCUUUUGUGGGGUGCUCGAGUGGCGAACGGGUGAGUAACACGUGAGUAACCUGCCCUUGACUUUGGGAUAACUUCAGGAAACUGGGGCUAAUACCGGAUAGGAGCUCCUGCUGCAUGGUGGGGGUUGGAAAGUUUCGGCGGUUGGGGAUGGACUCGCGGCUUAUCAGCUUGUUGGUGGGGUAGUGGCUUACCAAGGCUUUGACGGGUAGCCGGCCUGAGAGGGUGACCGGCCACAUUGGGACUGAGAUACGGCCCAGACUCCUACGGGAGGCAGCAGUGGGGAAUAUUGUACAAUGGGCGGAAGCCUAAUGCAGCAACGCCGCGUGCGGGAUGACGGCCUUCGGGUUGUAAACCGCUUUCGCCUGUGACGAAGCGUGAGUGACGGUAAUGGGUAAAGAAGCACCGGCUAACUACGUG